UCCCUGAGUUCCAAUAGCCCCUGGUGAGCCUGCAGUAUUUACUUACGAUGGUCAAGCCUCAUUGUGGGUGGUGUCACUUGCUUAGAAUCUGAGAUUAUGAAAAAAUUCUAGGAAAAAUGAGGCCCUAGAAUCUGGCU
rnacentral:snoRNA from 1 species